UAAAAGCCAUUCACACGUGCAAGCAAAAUGCCACACACGAACGCAACAAAUCCUGCGUUCCUCCCAUCUCUUUCUCUCGUCUCCCUCUUUUCUCCCCCACCACACAACAACACUCUCCCGUGUACACACAAGCUCGAUAUCAGCUCCGUUCUCCCUCACAACGCAGCAACAGUGACAGCUCUCUUGUCUCUCGCUUGAAGCAUCUAGCUGGCUCCCUGGGCUCCGAUCUCCCUCACUCUCUCGGCUCCGAUCUUCCUCACUCUCUCAACUCCGUUGUCCCUCAUUCUCUCGAUUGCAGCUGCAUCGCUCUCUAUCCCCCAACACAAUCGGCUUAAUUGAUUAAAGAUUAAUUUGUAAUUAAAGAUGCAGACUGCUUAAUUGAUAAAGAUGAAUUAAUAUGUUUUUGAGGCCUCAUAGAUUUUGAAUGGUUAUUGUUCUUGUUAAGGAUAUCGUGGUCUUCAAAUUAUUUUACAGAGCAUAUAUUAAUAUGGUGAUUAAUGUUGAUCGCUUUGCUUAUGGUUGCUUGAAUUUUGUUCUUACAUUAGGGACCUUCUCAGUUUGGUUGGAUUGGAUUCUUCAAAAUUGCUUAUGAUUGCCAACUCGCCAAGGACUGCAGCAAUUGUUCCUUUGAAUGGGAAGCUUUGUAUCAUUUGUAACAUCAUGAGCAUUAGUAUGAUUGCUGCACUGCUGUGUGGUGGGGGAUAAAAGAGGGAGAAUGCAAGAGAGAGAGAGAGAGAGAGAGAGACAGUAGAAACGUUGCUGCACUCCUAGAGGAUUUGAUCCGUGCGUGUGUGGUGAUGUUGCUUGCAAGUGUAAAUGGCUUUUAUACUUUGCACAAAACGAACCAUUUUGUGCAAAGCUUUGUGCUUAGCUUUGUGUGAAUAUUGGUGCUGAAAAAAUAAACACUACAUAACUUAUAAAGUUUGAAUUCAUUGUGUUCACAUUGGGUGUAAUUAUCUUUUAUAGAUAAUAAAUAUGGUACCUUCAUUUUUUUUUCCUUCUUGCUUGUCAAAAUGAUAUUAUUAACUUG
rnacentral:lncRNA from 1 species